rnacentral:rRNA from 1 species
ACUCAAAGGAAUUGACGGGGACCCGCACAAGCGGUGGAGCGUGUGGUUUAAUUCGAGGCUACGCGAAGAACCUUACCCAGACUUGACAUCCUUGUCGUACCCCUUGGAAACUUGGGGGUCAUUUAGUUGGACGAGUGACAGGUGAUGCAUGGUCGUCGUCAGCUCGUGUCGUGAGAUGUUAGGUUAAGUCCUUUAACGAGCGCAACCCUCGUGACUAGUUGUAUUUUCUAGUCAUACUGCCUCGGCAACGGGGAGGAAGGAGGGGAUGAGGUCAGAUCAGCAUGUCCCUUACGUCUGGGGCUACACACACGCUACAAUGGCCGGUACAAUGGGCUGCUAAGUCGCGAGACGGAGCUAAUCCCAUCAAAACCGGUCUAAGUUCGGAUUGCAGGCUGAAACUCGCCUGCAUGAAGCUGGAAUCGCUAGUAACCGUAGGUCAGCACACUACGGUGAAUACGUUCCCGGGUCUUGCACACACCGCCCGU